AAAAGGUUGGUAAGAUUUUGUUAAAUUCUUUCUCAACAUAAUUUGUUAUACUUAAAAAUAAAUUUAUAUUUAUAUUUGUUUUAUUAUUAAUGUACAUAAUGAAAUAUGUCAUAUUAAAUAAUUUUUUAGAUAGUCCUAGUAUGACUUGUUAACAGUAGAUAAAAAAUGGACAGAACUUAGGUUCACCACCUAGGGUGAACCUUUAAAUUCACCACACCCUUUAAAACCAAUCAAAUUUCCACAUAGAUUAUUAAUUAAAAAAUAUUAAAUUAAAUAAUAAAUAGCUACAAAAAAUAAAAAUGUUAAUUUUAACGACACUAAACUUCUAGCGAAACUCUAAACCCUAAAUUUUAAAUUCUAAACCCUAUACCCUAAAUUCUAAACCCAAAUCCAAACCCCUAAACCCAAACCCUAUAUCAUAAACCCUAAUCCUAGACCCUAAACCCUAACCCUAUAGCCUAAACACUAAUCCUAGACCCUAAACCCAAAAACCUAUACCCUAAACCCAAAUUAUAUACCUUAAACCCAAAAAAUAGACUAUGAACCUAAACC
rnacentral:lncRNA from 1 species